UACGUAGGGGGCUAGCGUUGUCCGGAAUCAUUGGGCGUAAAGCGCGUGUAGGCGGCUUUGCAAGUCGGGUGUGAAAGCCCUCGGCUUAACCGAGGAAGUGCGCCCGAAACUGCAGAGCUUGAGUACCGGAGAGGAUGGCGGAAUUCCCCAAGUAGAGGUGAAAUUCGUAGAUAUGGGGAGGAACACCGGUGGCGAAGGCGGCCAUCUGGACGGAUACUGACGCUGAGACGCGAAAGCGUGGGGAGCAAACAGG
rnacentral:rRNA from 1 species